rnacentral:rRNA from 1 species
UACAGCGGUGGCAAGCGUUGUUCGGAAUUACUGGGCGUAAAGGGCGCGUAGGCGGUUCGUUAAGUCCUGUGUGAAAUCCCCCGGCUCAACUGGGGAACUGCACAGGAAACUAGCGGGCUUGAGUUCGGGAGAGGGAAGCGGAGUUCCGGGUGUAGCGGUGAAAUGCGCAGAUAUCAGGAAGAACACCAAUGGCGAAAGCAGCUCUCUGGGACGGUACUGACGCUGAGACGCGAAAGCGUGGGGAGCGAACAGG